rnacentral:rRNA from 1 species
CUGAGCACGCCGCGUGAGCGAGAAGGCCUUCGGGUCGUAAGCUCUGUUGUAUGGAAGAACGGCGCAUACAGGAAAUGGUAUGCGAGUGACGGUACUUUACCAGAAAGCCACGGCUAACUACGUGCCAGCAGCCGCGGUAAUACGUAGGUGGCGAGCGUUAUCCGGAAUCAUUGGGCGUAAAGAGGGAGCAGGCGGCCGCAAGGGUCUGUGGUGAAAGACCGAAGCUAAACUUCGGUAAGCCAUGGAAACCGGGCGGCUGGAGUGCGGAAGAGGAUCGUGGAAUUCCAUGUGUAGCGGUGAAAUGCGUAGAUAUAUGGAGGAACACCAGUGGCGAAGGCGACGGUCUGGGCCGCAACUGACGCUCAUUCCCGAAAGCGUGGGGAGCAAAUAUUUAUUAGAUACCCUAGUAGUCCACGCCGUAAACGAUGGUCACUAAGUGUCGGGGGUCAAACCCCGGUGCUGCAGUCAACGCAAUAAGUGACCCGCCUGAGUAGUACGUUCGCAAGAAUGAAACU